GUACCGUCAUUAACACCGAUUAUUCGUCGGUAUCGUUUCUUCCCUUGCGAAAGAGCUUUACAACCCGAAGGCCUUCUUCACUCACGCGGAAUGGCUGGAUCAGGCUU
rnacentral:rRNA from 1 species